GGCAGUCGUGGCCUAAUGGUCAGAGAGUCAGGCUUGUAACCGGAAGGUUGUGGGUUUGAGUCUCAGGUCUGGCA